rnacentral:rRNA from 1 species
UACGAAGGGGGCUAGCGUUGUUCGGAAUUACUGGGCGUAAAGCGUGCGCAGGCGGCUGCUCAAGUCAGGGGUGAAAGCCCGGGGCUCAACCCCGGGUCGGCCGUGCGGACUGGGAGGCUCGAGCACUGUAGGGGCGGGUGGAAUUCCGGGUGUAGCGGUGGAAUGCGUAGAGAUCCGGAAGAACACCGAUGGCGAAGGCGGAUCUCUGGGCCUGUCCUGACGCUCAGGCGCGAAAGCUAGGGGAGCAAACAGG